GCGACCGUAGCUCAAUCGGUUAGAGCGCCGGUUUGUGGUACCGGAGGUUGCGGGUUCGAUCCCCGUCGGUCGCCCCA
rnacentral:tRNA from 2 species